GAUGAACGCUGGCGGCGUGCCUAAUACAUGCAAGUCGAGCGAACGGACGAGAAGCUUGCUUUUCUGAUGUUAGCGGCGGACGGGUGAGUAACACGUGGAUAACCUACCUAUAAGACUGGGAUAACUUCGGGAAACCGGAGCUAAUACCGGAUAAUAUUUUGAACCGCAUGGUUCAAAAGUGAAAGACGGUCUUGCUGUCACUUAUAGAUGGAUCCGCGCUGCAUUAGCUAGUUGGUAAGGUAACGGCUUACCAAGGCAACGAUGCAUAGCCGACCUGAGAGGGUGAUCGGCCACACUGGAACUGAGACACGGUCCAGACGCCUACGGGAGGCAGCAGUAGGGAAUCUUCCGCAAUGGGCGAAAGCCUGACGGAGCAACGCCGCGUGAGUGAUGAAGGUCUUCGGAUCGUAAAACUCUGUUAUUAGGGAAGAACAUAUGUGUAAGUAACUGUGCACAUCUUGACGGUACCUAAUCAGAAAGCCACGGCUAACUACGUG
rnacentral:rRNA from 1 species